rnacentral:misc_RNA from 1 species
GAAAUGCGAUAAGUAAUGUGAAUUGCAGAAUUCCGUGAAUCAUCGAAUCUUUGAACCCACAUUGCGCCCUCUGGCAUUCCGGGGGGCAUGCCUGUCCGAGCGUCAUUACGCACCCUCAAGCCCGGCUUGUGUGAUGGGCCCCGGCGUCUCGUUCGCGAGACGGGCCCGAAAGGCAGCGGCGGCGUCGACCCGAUGAGCCCGAGCGUAUGGGGACUUCUGUCACACGUUCGCGGUGCGGACCGGCGCCUGCUUGACUUUUCUGAUUAUCCAGGUUGACCUCGGAUCAGGUAGGGAUACCCGCUGAACUUAAGC